GAGGAAAGCUGGGGGCGUGCUUAACACAUGCAAGUCGAACGGAAAGGCUCCUGCUUGCAGGGGUACUCGAGUGGCGAACGGGUGAGUAACACGUGGGUGAUCUGCCCUGCACUUCGGGAUAAGCCUGGGAAACUGGGUCUAAUACCGGAUAGGACGAUGGUUUGGAUGCCAUUGUGGAAAGUUUUUUCGGUGUGGGAUGAGCUCGCGGCCUAUCAGCUUGUUGGUGGGGUAAUGGCCUACCAAGGCGUCGACGGGUAGCCGGCCUGAGAGGGUGUACGGCCACAUUGGGACUGAGAUACGGCCCAGACUCCUACGGGAGGCAGCAGUGGGGAAUAUUGCACAAUGGGCGCAAGCCUGAUGCAGCGACGCCGCGUGGGGGAUGACGGCCUUCGGGUUGUAAACUCCUUUCGCUAGGGACGAAGCGCAAGUGACGGUACCUGGAGAAGAAGCACCGGCUAACUACGUG
rnacentral:rRNA from 1 species